rnacentral:tRNA from 1 species
GCGGGUAGAGCUCAGUGGAAGAGUGUGUGCUUAGCAUGCACGAGGUCCUGGCUUCAAUCCCCAGUAUCUCUG